rnacentral:lncRNA from 1 species
CUGCGAAGCUACACUCCUCCAGCAGCUGGUGCGAAGCAUCGCUCCAGUUGAAAUCGUAAGGCUCUGCUUUGCUAGCUUAAAUGUCCAGUAAGAUCAGACCACCGCAUGCUGAGUCCCUAAGGACAAGUCCUCCUUACUACUCGUUUUUAUGGCUUCAGGAAAAUCUUAGGAACAAAACUGGAAAUGAGUUAGCUGGCAGUAUUUCUCUCCGUAGGAAAGUAGCUGGUUAUAAAGGGAACAGGCUUGUGAAUCCCUCUGUGAAUGCUGUGCUGUUUGGAUGCCUGUCUGCUGAAGGGCAGGGACACACAGGCAUGCAUUGGUGGCUGGAAGAAUUACCAGUGGGAAUUUUCAGAGCAGACGGAUGCACAGAUUGGUCAUCUAGUCUACCAAGGUUGGGACAAUGGGUCACAGCUGGACGAGCCAACAG